AUGUAUAGGGGACAGGGAUACUGGAGUGAUUGAGGUAGAUAUGUAUAGGGGUGGGGACAGGGAUACAGGAGUGAUGGAGGUAGAUAUGUAUGGGGGAAGGUGAAAGGGAUAAUGGAGUUAUAGAGGUAGAUAUGUAUAGUGGGGAAGGAGACAUGGAUACUGGAGUGAUGGAGGUAGAUAUGUAUAUGAGGAAGGAGACAGGGAUACUGGAGUGAUGGAGGUAUAUAUGUAUAAGGGGAAGGAGACAGGUAUACCGGAGUGAUGGAGGUAGAUAUGUAUAGGGGACAGGGAUACAGGAGUGAUGGAGGU